rnacentral:rRNA from 1 species
CGUGAGGAACCUGCCUUGGAGAGGGGAAUAACACUCCGAAAGGAGUGCUAAUACCGCAUGAUGCAGUUGGGUCGCAUGGCUCUGACUGCCAAAGAUUUAUCGCUCUGAGAUGGCCUCGCGUCUGAUUAGCUAGUAGGCGGGGUAACGGCCCACCUAGGCGACGAUCAGUAGCCGGACUGAGAGGUUGACCGGCCACAUUGGGACUGAGGCACGGCCCAG